UAGGGAAUAUUAGUAAUGGGCGAAAGCCUGAACUAGCAACGCCGCGUGUGCGAAGAAGGCCUUCGGGUUGUAAAGCACUUUUUGAGAGGAUAAGGAAGGACGGUACUCUCAGAAUAAGUCUCGGCUAACUACGUGCCAGCAGCCGCGGUAACACGUAGGAGGCGAACGUUAUCCGGAUUUACUGGGCGUAAAGCGCGUGUAGGUGGUUUGGUAAGUAGGGCGUGAAAGCUCCUGGCUCAACUGGGAGAGGCCGUUCUAAACUGCCGAACUAGAGGAUGGUAGAGGGAGGUGGAAUUCCGGGUGUAGCGGUGGAAUGCGCAGAUAUCCGGAGGAACUCCAGUGUCGAAAGCGGCCUCCUGGACCAUUCCUGACACUCAGACGCGAAAGCUAGGGUAGCAAACGG
rnacentral:rRNA from 1 species